rnacentral:rRNA from 1 species
CGGUAAUUCCAGCUCCAGUAGCGUAUAUUAAACUUGUUGCGGUUAGAACGCUCGUAGUCCGAUGUAUGUUCAGAUUUAGCGAUCCUCCCUAGCGGUGCGUACUCGAAUUGAUUUGACCAUAAUUUCUGAGUUUCGCAUCUGUAGUUUAUUCUAUGAUGCGACACCAGAACUUUUACUUCGAGAAAAUGAGAGUGCUUCGAGCAAAUGGUCGUCCUGAAUACACUAGCAUGGAAUAAUCUUAAGAGACAUCGUUCUAAAUUGGUUGGAAUUUGGAUAAUUGUAAUGACGGUGAGGAUAGUUGGGGGCAUUCAUAUUUAAUUGCUAGAGGUGAAAUUCUUGGAUUUUUUAAAGACGGACUUCUGCGAAUACAUCUGCCAGAGAUGUUUUUCUCGAUCAAGAACGAAAGUUAGGGGAUCGAAGACGAUCAGAUACCGUCCUAGUCUUAACCAUAAACUAUGCCAUCUAGAAAUUGGGCUCAUUAAGACUUGAUAUCCUCAGCAUCUUCAGAGAAAUCAAAGAUCUCAGGCUCCGGGGGGAGUAUGGUCACAAGACUGAAACUUAAAGGAAUUGACGGAAGGGCACCACCAGGAAUGGAGCUUGCGGCUUAAUUUGACUCAACACGGGGAAACUCACCAGGUCCAGACACAAUAAGGAUUGACAGAUUGAGAGCUCUUUCUUGAUUUUGUGGGUGGUGGUGCAUGGCCGUUCUUAGUUGGUGGAGUGAUUUGUCUGCUUAAUUGCGAUAACGAACGAGACCUUAACCUACUAAAUAGUGCUGCUAGCUUUUGCUGGUAUAGUCCCUUCUUAGAGGGACUAUCGAUUUCAAGUCGAUGGAAGUGCGAGGCAAUAUCAGGUCUGUGAUGCCCUUAGACGUUCUGGGCCGCACGCGCGCUACACUGACGGAGCCAGCGAGUUCUAACCUUGGCCGUGAGGUUUGGGUAAUCUUGUGAAACUCCGUCGUGGUGGGGACAGAGCAUUGUAAUUUUUUCUCUUCAACGAGGAAUUCAUAGUAAGCUCAUGUCAUCAGCUUGCGUUGAUUCCGUCCCUGCCCUCUGUACACACCUCCCGUCACUAGUACCGAUUGAAUGGCGUAGUGAGGCUUCCGGAUUGGUGUAAAGAAGGGGGCAACCUCAUCUCGGAACAGAAAAUCUAGUCAAAUCUGGUCAAUUAGAGGAAGUUCAAGUCAAGGUAAGGUAUACCGUAAGGGUGAAUUCC